rnacentral:rRNA from 1 species
GAUGAACGCUGGCGGCGUGCCUAAUACAUGCAAGUCGAGCGAACGGACGAGAAGCUUGCUUCUCUGAUGUUAGCGGCGGACGGGUGAGUAACACGUGGAUAACCUACCUAUAAGACUGGGAUAACUUCGGGAAACCGGAGCUAAUACCGGAUGAUAUUUUGAACCGCAUGGUUCAAAAGUGAAAGACGGUCUUGCUGUCACUUAUAGAUGGAUCCGCGCUGCAUUAGCUAGUUGGUAAGGUAACGGCUUACCAAGGCAACGAUGCAUAGCCGACCUGAGAGGGUGAUCGGCCACACUGGAACUGAGACACGGUCCAGACUCCUACGGGAGGCAGCAGUAGGGAAUCUUCCGCAAUGGGCGAAAGCCUGACGGAGUAACGCCGCGUGAGUGAUGAAGGUCUUCGGAUCGUAAAACUCUGUUAUUAGGGAAGAACAUAUGUGUAAGUAACUGUGCACAUCUUGACGGUACCUAAUCAGAAAGCCACGGCUAACUACGUG